rnacentral:rRNA from 1 species
UACGUAGGGUGCGAGCGUUGUCCGGAAUUAUUGGGCGUAAAGAGCUCGUAGGCGGCUUAGUAAGUCGGGUGUGAAACCCCAGGCUCAACCUGGGACGCCACCGAUACUGCUAUAGCUAGAGUCCAGUAGGGAGUGUGGAAUUCCCAAGUGUAGCGGUGAAAUGCGCAGAUAUUGGGAGGAACACCAGCGGCGAAGGCGGCACUCUGGGCUGGUACUGACGCUGAGGAGGCGA